AGGACGAACGCUGGCGGCGUGCUUAACACAUGCAAGUCGAGCGGAAAGGCCCUUCGGGGUACUCGAGCGGCGAACGGGUGAGUAACACGUGAGCAACCUGCCCUUAGCUUCGGGAUAGCUCCGGGAAACCGGAAUUAAUACCGGAUAUGACUAUGGCCGACAUCAGCCAUGGUGGAAAGUUUUUCGGCUAGGGAUGGACUCGCGGCCUAUCAGCUAGUUGGUGAGGUAACGGCUCACCAAGGCGACGACGGGUAGCCGGCCUGAGAGGGCGACCGGCCACACUGGGACUGAGACACGGCCCAGACUCCUACGGGAGGCAGCAGUGGGGAAUAUUGCGCAAUGGGCGAAAGCCUGACGCAGCGACGCCGCGUGGGGAUGAAUGCCUUCGGGUUGUAACCCCUUUCAGCAGGGACGAAGCGAAAGUGACGGUACCUGCAGAAGAAGCGCCGGCUAACUACGUGCCAGCAGCCGC
rnacentral:rRNA from 1 species